rnacentral:rRNA from 1 species
ACUCAAAUGAAUUGACGGGGACUUGCACAAGCAGUGGAUUAUGUGGUUUAAUUCGAUGGUAAACGAAGCACCUCACCAGGGUUUGAAACCUACGUGAAAGCUCUAAGAAACUAGAGCCCUCGCAAGACUAGUAGGCAGGUGAUGCAUGGCCGUCGUCAGUUCGUGGUUUGAAUUGUUCCCUUAAGUGGGGUAACGAACGCAACCCUCGUCGUGUGUUAUACGUGUCACACGAGACCGCCCAACCCAAUGAGCAUAAACAAAUUUGUUUGUGAGCAUCGGGUUGGGAGGAAGGAGAGGAUGACGCCAGGUCAGCAUGUCCCUUUGAUAUCCUGGGCUACACACAUAAUACAAUGACCAUUACAACGGGAAGCGACGCGGCGACGCUGAGCAAAUCCUUAUAAAAAUGGCCUCAGUUCGGAUUGGAGUCUGCAACUCGACUCCAUGAAGCUGGAAUUGCUAGUAAUCGCGGGUCAGACAUACCGCGGUGAAUACGUUCUCAAGUCUUGUACACACCGCCCGU